ACAGAAGGACGGUCAGGUCAAAGUUCAACAGAUCCGGUCAAGUGAGAAUUCAGCCGACCUAUUCACCAAAUCAUUGCUGACUUCAACGUUCCGGAAUCUCAUUCAUCAGAUCGGGAUGCGCGGACUUAAGGAUCGACAGUGAUGCUCAAAUCAGGGGGAGUAAUGCGUGUUGUACUCUUUUUCCUUCACCAUGGUUUUGUCCCACUGGGUUUUCC
rnacentral:lncRNA from 1 species